UGCCAUUAACUGUCAGAAACUUUGGAAGUCUAGCAAAAUGUUCCUGAAUGAUUCUUUACAAAUGUCUCUUGUCUGUUUCUUUCCAUUUCCCAUUCCCACCAUUCCUCUAAAUAUUCCCAAUUCUCUUCUCAUUUCUCCUUUUCAGGGGCAAACCCAUGAGGAACACCACCUUCAUGCCUGUCCCCACAAUGUGACUGCUGUCCACCCCACAGCUGAGGUAUCUGGGAAUUGUGCCCAUCUGAUAAUAGCAGACACUUAAAAUAACAGCAGAGGUGAGAGCUAGGCAUGGUGUUGCCAUGUUAUGUGUUGCCAGGCUAGGAAGCUGAUGAGAGGAAGAGUGGAGACAUGGGUAAUCUCUGAGAAAUAGAGGUAAGGCUUAGUUCCUGCUUCCAGUCCCAUUUCUGAGAUCCUUAUGGUCUAGUUCUUCAUUUCCUUCCUUUGAAGGCCCUUGAAACUUGCAUGUUUACCUUUAUGUUAAACUCUGUUUUUAUUAAGUUAGAUAUAGAGGAUUUCUAUUCCUUGCAAUUAAAUAUAUCCUUACUAAAAUGUAGGUUUUUACAUUGUUUCCUUAAUAAUUUUCUUGAUGUAUCUAUUUCUUUUAUGUAAUCUGUGGCUCUUACU
rnacentral:lncRNA from 1 species